rnacentral:hammerhead_ribozyme from 1 species
AUGUACCUGACGAGACCCAGACUGUAAAAUUGAUGCAACACAACAUGUUGAACGGAGUCUCACCCAUAAGGGACAGUAGCAAGAUGGGUCGAAACGACCGUUGUACAA